rnacentral:misc_RNA from 1 species
AAUUCUCAACCAUACGGGUUUUUACAACUCGUAUGGCUUGGAUUAUGGGAUUUUGCGGGCUUUCAUUAGUCGGCUGUCCUUAAAUGUAUUAGCAGAGCUUUCGUUGCUAAUCUCUGGUGUGAUAAUUAUCUACGCCAUUGAGAAGUGACUUAUCGAAGUGCUGCUUCUAAUCGUCUUCACAGACAACUUUUGACA